UAGCAGAGGAUCUUUCUCCCCGAUCCCUGCGACUUUCGCAGCUCCUUCUGCAAUCCGAGGGGCCAGAUGGCUCCUGCUAAUGCAAACAGAGGCACGCUGGCUGAGCACCAAGCAGGAAGCCUGCACCGCCAGUGCACGUGCUGUGGAUAGGGGCCAGCGCAGUUGAGCCAGCUUCUUUCAUCAGUGCUGAAAUCAGUGUUUGAGUUGGAUGUGAUUUCACAGUUUCCGUGCAGCCUUUGUGAAGGAGUUUUUGUGUGGUGAUCCCUCUGCUAGCAUUCUGUGCUUCAAACAAGACUGUUUAACUGGAGGCAGACCAAAGUACCAGCUGAUACACUGAAGAUCC
rnacentral:lncRNA from 1 species